CACGUCUCCAUGAAGGCUUAGCCCGAAAGCCCCCGGCGUGGGGCGGGCUUGGCCUGAUCCUGGUGGG
rfam:Aptenodytes forsteri contig64294, whole genome shotgun sequence.